UACGAAGGGGGCUAGCGUUGCUCGGAAUCACUGGGCGUAAAGCGCACGUAGGCGGCUUCUUAAGUCAGGGGUGAAAUCCUGGAGCUCAACUCCAGAACUGCCUUUGAUACUGAGGAGCUUGAGUCCGGGAGAGGUGAGUGGAACUGCGAGUGUAGAGGUGAAAUUCGUAGAUAUUCGCAAGAACACCCGUGGCGAAGGCGGCUCUCUGGAACGCAACUGACGCUGAGACGCGAAAGCGUGGGGAGCAAACAGG
rnacentral:rRNA from 1 species